rnacentral:rRNA from 1 species
AAGAGAGGAGCUUGCUCUUCUUGGAUGAGUUGCGAACGGGUGAGUAACGCGUAGGUAACCUGCCUGGUAGCGGGGGAUAACUAUUGGAAACGAUAGCUAAUACCGCAUAAUAGUAGAUGUUGCAUAACAUUUGCUUAAAAGGUGCAAUUGCAUCACUACCAGAUGGACCUGCGUUGCAUUAGCUAGUUGGUGGGGUAACGGCUCACCAAGGCAACGAUACAUAGCCGACCUGAGAGGGUGAUCGGCCACACUGGGACUGAGACACGGCCCAGACUCCUACGGGAGGCAGCAGUAGGGAAUCUUCGGCAAUGGACGGAAGUCUGACCGAGCAACGCCGCGUGAGUGAAGAAGGUUUUCGGAUCGUAAAGCUCUGUUGUAAGAGAAGAACGAGUGUGAGAGUGGAAAGUUCACACUGUGACGGUAUCUUACCAGAAAGGGACGGCUAACUACGUGCCAGCAGCCGCGGUAAUACGUAGGUCCCGAGCGUUGUCCGGAUUUAUUGGGCGUAAAGCGAGCGCAGGCGGUUAGAUAAGUCUGAAGUUAAAGGCUGUGGCUUAACCAUAGUACGCUUUGGAAACUGUUUAACUUGAGUGCAGGAGGGGAGAGUGGAAUUCCAUGUGUAGCGGUGAAAUGCGUAGAUAUAUGGAGGAACACCGGUGGCGAAAGCGGCUCUCUGGCUUGUAACUGACGCUGAG